rnacentral:rRNA from 1 species
GACGGGACCGCACAAGCGGUGGAUGAUGUGAUUAAUUCGAUGCAACGCGAAAACCUUACCUACCCUUGACAUGUCCGGAAUCCCGAAGAGAUUUGGGAGUGCUCGCAAGAGAACCGGAACACAGGUGCUGCAUGGCUGUCGUCAGCUCGUGUCGUGAGAUGUUGGGUUAAGUCCCGCAACGAGCGCAACCCUUGUCAUUAGUUGCCAUCAUUUGGUUGGGCACUCUAAUGAGACUGCCGGUGACAAACCCGGAGGAAGGUGGGGAUGACGUCAAGUCCUCAUGGCCCUUAUAGGUGGGGCUACACACGUCAUACAAUGGCCGGUACAGAGGGUAGCCAACCCGCGAGGGGGAGCCAAUCCCACAAAGCCGGUCGUAGUCCGGAUCGCAGUCUGCAACUCGACUGCGUGAAGUCGGAAUCGCUAGUAAUCGCGGAUCAGCAUGUCGCGGUGAAUACGUUCCCGGGUCUU